GAUGAACGCUGGCGGCGUGCCUAAUACAUGCAAGUCGAGCGAACAGACGAGGAGCUUGCUCCUCUGACGUUAGCGGCGGACGGGUGAGUAACACGUGGAUCACCUACCUCUAAGACUGGGAUAACUUCGGGAAACCGGAGCUAAUACCGGAUAAUAUAUUGAACCGCAUGGUUCAAUAGUGAAAGACGGUUUUGCUGUCACUUAUAGAUGGAUCCGCGUCGCAUUAGCUAGUUGGUAAGGUAACGGCUUACCAAGGCAACGAUGCGUAGCCGACCUGAGAGGGUGAUCGGCCACACUGGAACUGAGACACGGUCCAGACUCCUACGGGAGGCAGCAGUAGGGAAUCUUCCGCAAUGGGCGAAAGCCUGACGGAGCAACGCCGCGUGAGUGAUGAAGGUCUUCGGAUCGUAAAGCUCUGUUAUUAGGGAAGAACAAAUGUGUAAGUAACUAUGCACGUCUUGACGGUACCUAAUCAGAAAGCCACGGCUAACUACGUG
rnacentral:rRNA from 1 species